rnacentral:rRNA from 1 species
UACGUAGGUGGCAAGCGUUGUCCGGAAUCAUUGGGCGUAAAGCGCGCGUAGGUGGCUUCGUAAGUCCGUUGUGAAAGUCAAAGGCUCAACCUUUGAAUGCCGAUGGAUACUGCGGAGCUAGAGUACGGAAGAGGCGAGUGGAAUUCCUGGUGUAGCGGUGGAAUGCGCAGAUAUCAGGAGGAACACCAAUAGCGAAGGCAGCUCGCUGGGACGUUACUGACACUAAGGCGCGAAAGCGUGGGGAGCGAACAGG